GAUGAACGCUGGCGGCGUGCCUAAUACAUGCAAGUCGAGCGAACAGAUGAGGAGCUUGCUCCUCUGACGUUAGCGGCGGACGGGUGAGUAACACGUGGAUAACCUACCUAUAAGACUGGGAUAACUUCGGGAAACCGGAGCUAAUACCGGAUAAUAUAUUGAACCGCAUGGUUCAAUAGUGAAAGGCGGUUUUGCUGUCACUUAUAGAUGGAUCCGCGCCGCAUUAGCCAGUUGGUAAGGUAACGGCUUACCAAGGCAACGAUGCGUAGCCGACCUGAGAGGGUGAUCGGCCACACUGGAACUGAGACACGGUCCAGACUCCUACGGGAGGCAGCAGUAGGGAAUCUUCCGCAAUGGGCGAAAGCCUGACGGAGCAACGCCGCGUGAGUGAUGAAGGUCUUCGGAUUGUAAAACUCUGUUAUUAGGGAAGAACAAAUGUGUAAGUAACUAUGCACGUCUUGACGGUACCUAAUCAGAAAGCCACGGCUAACUACGUG
rnacentral:rRNA from 1 species